GUACAACAGACUGCCAGAGGUCUUAUUUUCCACUGUUGCUGUCUUAGAAUUCAACUGCUAUGUGAAGAAGCAAGGUUAUUCUGUUGAGGAGGCUUCAGGAAGAAAGAGGCCCUAGCGGAGAAAAGACUAUGAGCUCAGACUUUGGAGAUGGAAAAUGGAAGAAAUAAAAGAGAAAGCGAAAAAGAAAGAUAAAGGAAACGAAUCUGCAGAGAUAAACAGAGGAACUGAUGUUCUCUAGAGCAAAAUGAAGAAGUAAAUUUGAAACUAAAAAAGACUUUCGGGAGUUCCUUUUCUUUCAUCUUCUAGAGCACAGAGAGCUUCAUUCAGGGUUACAUGAAUCAGAGUCCAGCAUCUCCCAUGGGCACAUAUUUUAGUUUCAUGGACAAUAAACUUCCACUAGUGUUAAAUGAGUUACUUUCCACAAAAUGAUGCCUCCAGGAACCAAUCAGCCCCGAAGAUCCUAUCUGGAACACCUGGCUCUGGGGAGAGUAGGAAGUUCCUAAGAACAAAGGGCUAUAGAGAAAAGAAGAUGCAAAGAAAGGUGCAUGAGCCGGUGACUUCCUUUUGGCCUGGAAAAGCUUUUUGGAUCCCUUUCUCCCUGCCCUCCCUUAACCACUAGGUGGAAACGGAGGGUGCUUUAUUGUACAGAUGUACUAAAGGAUGAGUUUAAGGUUUCUCUGUUAUUAGUAGCUCAGAGCUUCCAACAGUGAAGCAGCAGCAAAGGGCACUGGUGGUUUCCCAAGUGGAGACGCUCAGAGGCUCCGUCCUGAGAUGGGGAAGUUGGGAUUAGCCUUCAUCAAUGCUGCAGGAGGAAUUUCUUCAAUUCCAUGAAUUUCUGGAGUUUCUAGCUGGAUAGAUGGCAAGCCUUAUAAACCUUGUCAUGUGGCUAAGGACAUGGAAGCCCUAUAAAGCAGCAGUCAUUACAGCAUCCCAGGACUCCAGGACUUCCACCAACUGUGGAAGAGAGGAUGUGUGAUCACCAUCAAAAUUAGUUUUCUAGUCAUUAGACUAUAAUCCCUUCAAAAGAUUCAGAACCCUACAAGAGAAAAACACCAUCACCAGAUGGCAAACUUGAGACCCAGGAUCCCUUCCUUCAGUCACACUGUUCAACUAAGACCAUUCUGCAGAUGACCACACAGGGCAGUGUUUCUAAAGCAUGUGUUGAAGAACCCUGUCUCUGAGAGAUCCUUCUUGAGAAGAGGAUUCUGAGUUCAAAUAACAUUGAGAACAUACUUGCAUACAUGUCUUCUCUAGCAGUUCACAAUGGACAUGAACAUUGUGAAUGCUCUAAGAAAUGCUAGAGUGGAGAAAACUGUUUAACUUUGUGUUACCUGGCUUCAUCCAAAGGUACUUAACCAUAAAGCUCCUGUGU
rnacentral:lncRNA from 10 species